GACGAACGCUGGCGGCAUGCCUAACACAUGCAAGUCGAACGGAGAAAAAGAAGCUUGCUUCUUUUUCUUAGUGGCGGACGGGUGAGUAACGCGUGGAUAACCUGCCAUAUACAGGGGGAUAACACUUAGAAAUAGGUGCUAAUACCGCAUAAGCGCACAGCUUCGCAUGAAGCAGUGUGAAAAACUCCGGUGGUAUAUGAUGGAUCCGCGUCUGAUUAGCUUGUUGCGGGGUAACGGCCCACCAUGGCGACGAUCAGUAGCCGGUCUGAGAGGAUGAACGGCCACAUUGGGACUGAGAUACGGCCCAGACUCCUACGGGAGGCAGCAGUGGGGAAUACUGGGCAAUGGGGGAAACCCUGACCCAGCAACGCCGCGUGAAGGAAGAAGGCCUUCGGGUUGUAAACUUCUUUUACCAGGGACGAAGAACGUGACGGUACCUGGAGAAAAAGCAACGGCUAACUACGUG
rnacentral:rRNA from 1 species